rnacentral:miRNA from 1 species
CCUAGGAAGUCAGUUCUGGA